GACGAACGCUGGCGGCGUGCCUAAUACAUGCAAGUCGAACGCAGUGGGGACGGGUGAGUAACCCGUGGGUAACCUCCCAUCAGAGGGGAUAACACUUGGAAACAGGUGCUAAACCGAUACUGAUGGAUGGACCAGCGGUGCAUUAGCUAGUUGGUGAGGUAACGGCUCCCAAAGGCCACGAUGCAUAGACGACCUGAGCGUGGUAUAGGCCAACUGGGAACUGAGCAAGGGCCCAGCCGCCUACGGUAGGCAGCAGUAGGGAACCGUCGGCAAUGGACGAAAGUCUGACUGAGCAACGCGGAGGAAGUGAAGAAGGUUUUCGGUGCGUAAAAUUCGGUUGUUAGAGAAGCGGUAUCUAACCAGAAAGCCACGGCUAACUACGUGCCAGCAGCCGCGGUAAUAC
rnacentral:rRNA from 1 species